rfam:Triticum urartu cultivar G1812 contig862175, whole genome shotgun sequence.
GUACUACUCCCUUCGUCCGGAAAAACAUGUUGGAAGAAUGGAUGUAUCUAGACGUAUUUUAGUUCUAGGUACAUUCAUUUUUAUGCAUUUCUCCGACAAGUAUUUCCGAACGGAGGGAGUAUUAU